rnacentral:rRNA from 1 species
AGCGAACGCUGGCGGCAGGCUUAACACAUGCAAGUCGAACGGGCACUUCGGUGCUAGUGGCAGACGGGUGAGUAACGCGUGGGAACGUACCUUUCGGUUCGGAAUAAUUCAGGGAAACUUGGACUAAUACCGGAUACGCCCUUCGGGGGAAAGAUUCAUCGCCGAUAGAUCGGCCCGCGUCUGAUUAGCUAGUUGGUGAGGUAAUGGCUCACCAAGGCGACGAUCAGUAGCUGGUCUGAGAGGAUGAUCAGCCACAUUGGGACUGAGACACGGCCCAAACUCCUACGGGAGGCAGCAGUGGGGAAUAUUGGACAAUGGGCGCAAGCCUGAUCCAGCCAUGCCGCGUGAGUGAUGAAGGCCUUAGGGUUGUAAAGCUCUUUUGUCCGGGAAGAUAAUGACUGUACCGGAAGAAUAAGCCCCGGCUAACUUCGUGCCAGCCGCCGCCGUAACAC